AAGCCUUCAAAGAAAUUAUUGAGAUGCAGGGUUGUUUGAAGGGUAUCACCAUAUGUUUGCUUUGGAAGUAGAAGUUGAAGGCCACCAGAAAUCAGUUUUCCUGUGGGUUGCUAUGACAUGCAAGGCUUCAGAGGUUACAAAGGAUGUUACUGCUCAAAGGUCUUGGGGAUUUCUUGGAUUCUCUGACCUAGAUGAGAGGCAGUUGAUAUCUUCCUUCUGUAUCUGGAAUAAACUGCAGUUCAUGACUGAUAUUACUUCGAGAUUUAAGAAAGGUCAUUCUUCUAACCAAAGGCCAUCAUGUGUGACAGGGUCUUUCUAGUGCUGGUAACGGAACAAAGAUGUUCUGCCCACCUUAGUUCGGUUCCGAUGUCGCAGGAUCUCUCUGUACUGGGGGACGCUUGCUCGCUCGCCCGCCCUGGUGCUCUCGCACCUUCGCGCCCGCACUGCUCUCGUGAGCCGGGGCGCCGCGGCCACUUCAGCACCCUGGCCAGAGCCCCGAGGCGGGGCCGCAGCUGAGCCCCUGAGCUCUGAGAGCUUUGGGCUCUGCCUCGCCAGUGGGCAUCACUGGGGCCUGGGGCCUGGCUGCUGCUAUUUGCACAGCUGAGGUGACGGUGGCACAUUUUGGGCAUUGACUGUGCAUGUUGGCUCUCUGAUGUGCUUCAGCCUGCAGUGCUUCAGGCCUUCAGUCUGCACAGCUGUGAGCUAGGAUUCCUGGCCUGCAUUCCAGCUCAUCUGGUGACAUGUAUUGUACCUCUGAAAGUGUCAUACAGUUCCACACUCCCAGUUUCCGACCCUGUGUUCUGUGAUCAUUAACAAGGAAUAAUGUGGUGUUGCAAGAUGUUAUAUGUGCAAACACUGUUUAGUAAAUGAAUAUUUAGAGAGUGUUCUUUGACAGCUUCUGAGGCAGUUCUUGGGAGUUUCAGCUAACCGUACCCCUAUUACAGCUACAGUUUGAGAGUGGGAUAUUUUAACAAAUCGGGGAAAAAUAAGGACCUCAGACCUCCUAUGUCUUCAUGCACUACUGUUUUUAUAGUCUGUUGCUCAUGCACCAUUAUUAUACUGAUUUCUUGGGCUGCACUGCAUGUAAAUACUUAGCCUUGAAAUAAUUUAAUGAUGCACAACUAAUGACGUGGAGGAAUGACUGGAGAGGUGGCAUUUUAGGUGAAUCACAGCUUAUUCUACAAAUUAUUUAUAGACUGCUGUCUCUUUCUGACUGGAUGUCAGCUACCUGGCAACAAGCCAGAGUGCUUCUGAAUCAUCUAGUAUAGUUGUUACGGCUUUCAGAGGAGGGCAAAAGAGAUUAAGGAAGGCUCACUUUGUAUCUUUUAAUAAGCAAUAAACAGUCCAAUGAAAAAG